rnacentral:rRNA from 1 species
UACGAAGGAUGCGAGCGUUAUCCGGAUUUAUUGGGUUUAAAGGGUGCGUAGGCGGUCUUAUAAGUCAGUGGUGAAAUCCUAUCGCUUAACGAUAGACGUGCCAUUGAUACUGUAGGACUUGAGUACAGAUGCCGUUGGCGGAAUGUGUCAUGUAGCGGUGAAAUGCAUAGAUAUGACACAGAACACCGAUUGCGAAGGCAGCUGACGAAACUGUAACUGACGCUGAUGCACGAAAGCGUGGGGAUCAAACAGG